AGCGAACACUGGCGGCAGGCCUAACACAUGCAAGUCGAACGAACCCUUCGGGGCUAGUGGCGGACGGGUGAGUAACACGUGGGAACGUGCCUUUAGGUUCGGAAUAACUCAGGGAAACUUGUGCUAAUACCGAAUGUGACCUUAGGGGGAAAGAUUUAUCGCCUUUAGAGCGGCCCGCGUCUGAUUAGCUAGUUGGUGAGGUAAUGGCUCACCAAGGCUACGAUCAGUAGCUGGUCUGAGAGGAUGACCAGCCACAUUGGGACUGAGACACGGCCCAAACUCCUACGGGAGGCAGCAGUGGGGAAUCUUGCGCAAUGGGCGAGAGCCUGACGCAGCCAUGCCGCGUGGAUGAUGAAGGUCUUAGGAUUGUAAAAUCCUUUCACCGGUGAGGAUAAUGACUGUAGCCGGAGAAGAAGCCCCGGCUAACUUCGUGCCAGCCGCCGCCGUAAUAC
rnacentral:rRNA from 1 species